UGUAAUUUAUUGUACAUUAAAAGAUCUGUAAGACACAAGUUGGAAAAUUGAUCAUAAUUUAGUUAUUUGGGAUAUUUGUUAUGUGAUAAUGAACAAUUAGCAGAUGGAAGAAAAAGGAAAUUUGUAGGAACAGCACAGAUAUGUGCAUUUAUUUUCCUAAUGAAGGGGGCUUUGUUUUAAAAACAAAACAAAACAAAAAAGGUUCUUAGCCUUUCACACACAGUAUCUCUAAAUUACUGUUAUAAAGUUCUGGAGAACACAGUAUGAUUUGGCCAGAGGAAGAUCACCUGCAUUUCCUCAGAACUUUGCAAGGACAAAGAAGGAAAGAAACUACAGGAUUAAACUUUCAUCGUUUGCUGAGAGUAGCAGUAAUUGUCAUUUUUUAGUAAUGGCUUCUCUGUAUUGUAAACUACCUUCUCUGAAAAAAAAAGUUACUUCAUUUGUAGUUUGGAAUUCAACUAAAGUUUUCUUCUUGUUCUUUUUAAAUGAAGUUGAUUAAGACAUUUUGAAAAUACCAAAAAAGUUAACCUCUGUAAGAGUAGUAAAAACAUGUCCAAACUCAUCUGAUUUUCCUCUUUAAAAAAUAAUAAAUAAAAAUAAAAUUAUAUAUAUGUAUACACACACAUAUGUGUGUAUAUAUAUAUGUAUAUAUACACACACACAUUUGAUGUUAAAAUUAAUUGUAGUACAUUCUGAGAUUUUUAAAAAUUAUAUCUUAGUUAUUAGCACUGAUGAGAUAAAUAUUAGUAUAGGUACCAAGAAACACAGUUAAAUCUGAGAAAUGGUUAGGCCGUAAGUGAUGAGGCAACUCUACCAUAACAGCAAAGUGUUUAUUAAUCACUACUUUGUGUUCUUAAUUAAAUACUUAGUAGGCAUUUAAUAAGUACUUGAUUUUUUUUUACGUUGCAUUAUCAUUGGAAAUCAUUGUUUUAACUCUUACAGUCGAAAAACAUUUAUUUUUCAUAGAAUACAUUUUGAUCAUGUUUUUCCUAUCGCCUAGCUCUUCCCAUAUUCCUCCCACCUCAUUACUCAUCCAACUUUAUGUAUGUACACUCACUUAAAAUAAAUGCCACAAAACGAAAAUCAAUACAAACCAAAAAUAUGCCGAAAUCAAUCAAUCAAUCAAUCAAACAAACAGAUAGAAAACCCCCACAGUUUAUUGACCUACUACUCCUGGCUGAGGGCUUGCCCUGGAGUAUUAUGGAUCCACCCAGUGACACUCCAUUGGAGAAAACUCAUUUUCUCCUUGCCAGCAGGUAUCAGCUGCAAACAGCCUCUUGGUUAGGGUUGGGUGCCUGUGUCUACGUUGCCUUCUCACUGCUGGGGCCUAUCUGGCUUGAACCUAUACAGAUGUUGUGUGUGUGCCACCACACUCUGUGAAUUCAUUUUUUCAUCAGUUCCAUUGUAUCUGGAAAACACUGUUUCUAUGAAAUUAUCCAUGGCUCUUACAGUUUUUUUGCCUCCUCCUUUGCAUGGAGCUUUGAAGGGAGGGUUUAAUAAAGACAUCCCACGUAGAUCUAAGAGCUCCAAAGUCUCCUGCUCUCUGCACAUUGUCUAGUUAUGGGUGUCUGAGUUAUUUCCCAUCUCUUUCAAGAAGCUGCUUCUCUGGUGAGGGUUGAGCAAGGCAGUGAUCUAUGGUUAUAGCAAUAUGUCACUAGGAGUCAUUUUUUAUUGCUGUGUUCCUUUCAUAGAAUAAUAGUAAUAGGUUUUCUGCUUGGCUUGACCUAGUCUCAGGUUCUUGGCUAUUUAGUAGUACCAACUAUAGGGGUUUUUUUUGGCGGGGUCUUCAUGGGUUCUUCUUCUACUCUGCUCCAUCCUCUUUUUCUUCCUCCCUUUCAACUCCCUAACACUAGAUAAU
rnacentral:lncRNA from 1 species